CGAAGCGCAUUGGCUUCCACAGCGCCUUGCCAUCUCCUCCCUCCUUGUAGGUGUCCUCAUUGUGACGGCUGCUUAUAUACACCCUUCCGCACACGCCCGCCUGCCCCACACUUCAUCAAACACGCAGCUACGCGCAUCCGCACGUGUGCGAGAGGGAGAGAAAAACGAGCACGCGUCUUUCAUUAUGCCGAAGCGUCACCGCCAGCCGGAGCCGAUCGACAUCGAAAGCACGUUCCGUCACCGGAGCAACCACGAGUGCUACGACAAGAGGUUGCUUAGCAGUGAUGCGAGCUUGAAGAACUCGACGGCACUUCGAGCUUCCUCGGCUGCCGCCACCUCCGCUGCCGCUGGGACUGAGCGCGCCGAUUCCGUUUACUCCCCAGGUGAGAUAGAGCUGGCCGAGAAGACCCGCAAGAGAGCCAAGGACCUCCCUGCAACUCCCGAGUCACUAGUGCGACACCGCCGGCAACUGGAGGCGCACGCCAAGCGACGUCGCAUCUCGUUCGACAAGGACGGCCAACCUGUCGACGAUGACAACGUCUCGGGAGAGGCGGCACUGAGAGCGCAGCAGAGGCGCCCUGUGCUGCUGCCGGUUAAAGUCUCUUUUCCAUCUCUUCCAGGCCGAGCUUCUUCGGCUGCAUCGAACGGCCUCGAUCUCGCCAGUCACGACGAAGGGAAAGACGAUGAUGACGACAUCGACUUCAGCUCCAACGAGUACGUUGGAGAUGACGGUAACCAACCUAGCAGCGAUGACUCUGCGCUCGGCGGCGAAAGCGAUGGCGACAGCGCUGCAGAGGAAGAAGAGCUGCGCCAGCUACGGAAGUCGGUGGCUGCAGCUGCUGCUGCUGCCCAGCGACGCCAGAAGAUAGACAAAGGCGAUGAGGACAGCAGCGAUGAAAGUGAUGGCGGCAACAACAGUAACGGGGAGGAUAAAGUGCCCGAUGAUAGCAGCCCGCUGGGCAGCAGCGACGAUGGCUCGGAGGACUCCUCCGGUAUGGAUGAGGAGGGCGAGUUGAGCCAUGACUUGUCGGACUUUGGCAGGGAGCAGGAUAACGACGAAGAGAGCGAGGAGGAAGAGGAGAACAGCGCUGGUGGUGUUUGGGGCACGCGCCGUCGCGGCGGCGGCGCCGCUGGGCAGAGCAGCGACGAAUACGACGAUGACGACGACGGCGGCGAUGGUCUUGUGACUGUCGACUUUGGCGUGUUUGACAUGGAUGCAUCUAACGUCGAUGGGCUUCUCCACCUGAUGGAUCAGUUCUGCCCCGACCGAAUGAACGAGGUGGACCGUGAUGAACUGGGGCUGGCACUGUACGAGAGCCCCUUCACCAGCGUCGUGCGCCUGCAGAACAACGGCGAGGACACCACAGGGGAGGAGGAGCAAGAAUUCUAUGGCCUUUCCUCUGUGCUAGACGUCGCACACGGGCAGUCGCUCUACCCCGCGGCACUGCGUCCGCUCUGUGGGCUUUUGCAACAGCGCGUGUGGCGGCAGGCGGCACCAGGCAUUCCACCGACAGAUAUCUUGACGAGCGUUGUGGACGGCGGCCCCACCGUGUCGUCGCGCGCCAAGUGCCUUCUGCUCAUCUCCGAGUACAUCCGGAACAUCCCGCUGGAGCUGACGGUGCAGAUUCUGGAGGAUGUGCUUGAUCGCCUAGAUGCCGCCGGCCAGCAGGAGAAAAAAAAGAUACAGGUGCAGACGGCGGGAGAGGCCAUGGCGACGCACGAGCAUCCCAUCUUUGCAACUCACCCCAGCAUGCUUGCCGUGCUGGCGAAGGUCCAGCGUGCCACUGAUGCGCCGGUGACACUGCCGAAGCAUGCUGUGCCAUUCUCAUCUGGCGGCGGCUCUGAAGGGGCUGGGAGUGGUGGCGACGCAGCCGCUGCAGCACAUCGGAAGCAUCACAAUGGUGGAAGCCGUAACACUAAGAAAGGGACCGAUGGGGCUAGUGGAAGUGUCAGCGGCGGCGCGAUGGGUGCCCCCGACUCCCCGCUCGACCUUACACACUAUAUCUUCUGGCGCGAAGAGGACAACAUUCUCUACGAGUUCCGCGACAAGCGGGUUGCCACCCUCGUCUACCGCUGCCGCCCGCAGUACGACGGCCAGCCGGCGCACGAAAUACCGCUUUCAAUCCUCUUUGUGCUGCAGUACGGCGCUGCGCGGCAGGCAGUGGACGAGAUGCGGCGGCGGCAAACGGUCAACGCAGCCGUGGAGCGAUACUGAGGGGAGGGAGUGGAGGAGUGAGACGGGGGAGGGUGGCGCACAGUGAUACGGCGCGAGACGGGGAGGGAGACUGUUCUAGACCUUGUUCAGGGGACCGCCUGCCUACCUGCCUGCGCGUGUCUGCGCGCAUGUGGUGGUGUACGUGGGCGCACUCCACAUGUGCGAGUCACGCACAGGCAUCCCACAAAGACGCACAUCUACGCAGACAAUCCUGCACUUCCCGCAGCACGCCGUUCACCCCCCCCCAUAUCUCGCUGUAUUGCUUCACCUUUACCUAAUCACAUUCCUUCUGCAUAGUUUAACGAAAGGCACGUAUGCGUCUCUCUCUGCGUCCCCUCUGACCCCUCGCCCCUCCGAAACGCAUCCAUAUCAACACAAACGCCCCCAGAAAAAAAACGAUAACAGGACACGGUCUUUGCACGAGGCACUCCCGCUGGUGGUGGCGGUCUUCGUCGGACAGUUGCACUGCAAGCCUCUGCACGUUCCCCUUGACAACCCCAACCUUUUGGUGGUGUGCAGCUCCGCCCUCCACUCGCCUUUCACGACUUCUCUGCAAAAAAUGAGCGGAGAAAAGAAAAGAGUGCACGAACGCCGCGAAGCGGAGCGAGGAGCGAAGGUGCUGCAACCGGCGCGUUCUUUGCGCCGCACAAAGCCACGCGCGCGUGCCCCUGCUGGACGUUUCGAGGCUUCUUUAGCUUCUCGGCUUGAGUGUUCUCGUGAUGCGUCCUGUCGGGCAACAGCGAGGUGGAGCACGAGGCUGUUUUCCGUUUCUGCGCCGUCUUCGACGCCCUCCCCUUCCCCUUGCUCGCAUCUCCCAUUUUCGUUGUGUGCUCAUUGCCCACCUCUCUCUCGAUCUAUGCAUGCCCGCAUUGUGGGCUUGUGCUGCGUGCCGGAGAGUCUUUGCACCCCUUCUCUGCAG
rnacentral:misc_RNA from 1 species